GCGGUGGGGCCUGUGACUCUUGCAGUAACAGGGCUCCCCUGGGGAUUGCAACGAGCGGUCCCAGGGGUGGAUGAGUCUGCAGCUCGACCCUGGCAAAGAGGUGGUGACCU